UGAGUGGCUGGCACGGGGCGUAUAUUUUGUCUUUAGUAUGAAUGGAUGUUGUCGUCGGAUUGAAAUUCUGCUGUCCACUUUGUAAUCUUGGUGGAGUGCUCUAAAUAGCCACAGCUGUAUGGCAACAUUUCCUGUAGCAGCUCUUCUGUUCUAGAGGGCCACGAUGACAAUAAUUGUGGAUGCACUCUGGGCUGUAUGGAGCAUUGGGGCUUCGAUCUAUGACUACUUCCAAACCAGUGCUAUAGAAGAGCGUAUCCUUGCCCUUGAGAGUGUGCUGACCAUCCACCAAUGUGUCAUUGGAGUACUGUCAGCUGGUCUGAUCAUCCUAGUCACAUACAUCUUCUUGAGAAAGCACUGACUGCCACAGGAGUGACAAGGAUGCCAUACUGUAGCUUACAAAAAAAAAAGACUGUUGUGCCUUGAAGAUGCUAACACUUUCUAUGCUGAACACCCUCAUUGGAACUGUCCCUUGAUUUAUUUCAAAAUGUUUUUCAUUCAGCAUAUGUUCAGGGAUAGGAGACAAAUAGCUGACUAUUUAUGUUUAGGUGACGCUUACUACAGCUGUGCGUGUGUUACAGGGACCAAUCUGGCCGUUUUCAUUAUUGAAGAUAGUUUAAAAAAUUGGGCCAGGGAAAUUAAUUGGGAAGGAUCAUGAAUGCAGGGAUAGACCCUUUCAACAAUAAAAACAAAAACAAUGCUUGAACGUUCUAUUUGGUUCCCAAUCUACUUCCUCUGCAUUAAGAUAACAUAUGGAAUGUUAAAACGGAAGCCUUGUGGGGCCAACUAUGAUGCUGAUAAUGGAACUCUCUUGAAAGGGUCUAUAACAUUUUUCCUGAUAAGGGCAAGGUCAGGCCUUGUAUUUAAAGAAUUGCUGCUCUUAUUUGGAAUUGAAACACUGUGUUUUUAAUAUGGAUUGUGAAAAUGUUUUAAGUAAGUAGAGCUAGGGUUCCCAUGGCAAUGGAAACCCUGGAAAAGUCAUGGAAUAGUAAAAACACAUUUCCAGACCUGGAUAAAUCAUGUAAUUCGGGAAGUUCAUUGAACGUUUUGGAAAAGUCAUGAAGUUUCAUUGUCCUACAGGCUACCAGGGACCAUUGAGUAGUACGGUUCAGUUUGGUACAGUACAGUUUGGAAUGGUUAACCCUGACCUGGCUUGUGCCUCGACUGCCAACAGCCUUUAGGUAGGUAGGCGGGGUGAAGACUGGAUACCGAUAGCCGCAUCAGCCAGAUAAGUGGAGUUGAUAAGGAGCUGGGACUGAGAUGGACAACUUUGUAUUUUUUUUUGCCCAAUCAACGGACUAUUGAUCUACGGCAGUGGUUCUCAAACUGUGGUACGGGUACCACUGGUGGUACGCAAACUCUCACUAGUGAUACUCAGGGAGUCUCCAAGAUGUCUUUUCAUAAAGACUUGACAACGCAAAACAGUAUGUACAAUGUAAAAUAUGUAGCUGAAUUGGCCUAUAGGCACCUGUAUUUUAAUGCCGGUCAUAAUAGUGGUACUUGGAGAGCCAAUUGUUUUUGUGGGUGGUACUCAUUGUAAAAAGUUUGAGAACCACUGAUCUACGCUAUUGAUCAGUUGUUUUGGUACCAUUCACAAAUUCUGACGGAAUGGAAAUGGAAACACAGAUAAUUGUGUACUGUACUGUACCAAACUGAACCAUACCGCUCAGUGGAGACAUGCCAUUAUGUAGCGUAUACCAUGUCACAGAGCUUAAUUGCUUCCUUCAUAGAUAAAGAAUGGUUGGGGAGAAAACACGUUAUCCAAUCUCGUUGUUUAAGUCACAUUUCAUCAUUAGCCCCAACAUGUGACGUAAAGUAAGCCAUACCUGUAGGCCAUGAAAAGUCAUGAAAAUUUCACUCAAAGUUCACUCAAAUUUCACUGAAAAGUCAUGGAAAGGUUUCCAAAUUUUGUCAGUGAAGACCCUGUAGAGCCUUGUAAAUCAGUAGGCUAUGAUUUCAAUACCUCUUGUCUCAACCCCCUAACUUACUGAUGCUACUGUCUCUGAACUUACAACAUUUUAUUCUCAUUUACUGAAGCCAUUUACAUCAGUGAUUUUGUGUCAGUUAUGUAUUUCUUUGUCAUAAAUAUAAAUGUGCUGAAAUGUCAUAUCAUUUGCUACUACUUGGAAGUUGGCUUACAUUAAAGGGAAUUUCAUGA